AUACUUAAAUAUUUUUUUUUUUUAGAGAGAUAUUAAGUAGUAUGAUAUCUGCUUUAUUUAUUUCAUUUAAAAAUAAACUUAGUUAGAAAUGUGAAUCAAUUAAAAUUCAAACUUGAAAACUCGGGUAUCAAUCACCAAACUUUUUGCCACUUGCUCUAGGACCGGUCGGUAAUACUUAAAAUUUUAAAUUUGAAAUUUAAUUACUUUAUAUUUAUAACCGAGUGAAUUUAUUU
rnacentral:lncRNA from 1 species